AGAGUUUGAUCAGUGGCUCGAGGACGAACGCUGGCGGCGUGCUUAACACAUGCAAGUCGAACGGGACUGAUUGAAAGCUUGCUUUUGAAAAGUCUAGUGGCAAACGGGUGAGUAACGCGUAGGCAACCUGCCUCUAAGAUGGGGACAACAGCCCGAAAGGGCUGCUAAUACCGAAUGUUGUAAGUAACUCGCAUGAGAGACUUACCAAAGAUGGCCUCUGCUUGCAAGCUAUCACUUAGAGAUGGGCCUGCGUCUGAUUAGCUAGUUGGUGGGGUAACGGCUCACCAAGGCGACGAUCAGUAGCCGGUCUGAGAGGAUGAACGGCCACAUUGGGACUGAGACACGGCCCAGACUCC
rnacentral:rRNA from 1 species